rnacentral:rRNA from 2 species
CUGUCUCAGAGCGAACGCUGGCGGCAGGCCUAACACAUGCAAGUCGAGCGGGCACCGCAAGGUGUCAGCGGCUCACGGGAGAGUAAUACGUGGGAACGUGCCCUUUGGUUCGGAACAACUCCGGGAAACUGGAGCUAAUACCGGAUAAGCCCUUACGGGGAAAGAUUUAUCGCCAAAGGAGCGGCCCGCGUCCGAUUAUCUAGUUGGUGAGGUAACGGCUCACCAAGGCGACGAUCGGUAGCUGGUCUAAGAGGAUGAUCAGCCUCACUGGGACUGAGACACGGCCCAGACUCCUACGGGAGGCAGCAGUGGGGAAUAUUGGACAAUGGGCGCAAGCCUGAUCCAGCCAUGCCGCGUGGGUGAUGAAGGCCCUAGGGUUGUAAAGCCCUUUCGGCGGGGAAGAUAAUGACGGUACCCGCAGAAGAAGCCCCGGCUAACUUCGUGCCAGCACCCGCGGUAAUACGAAGGGGGCUAGCGUUGCUUCGGAAUUACUGGGCGUAAAAGCGCACGUAGGCGGUCUUUUUAAGUCGGGGGUGAAAUCCUGGGAGCUCAACUCCAGAACUGCCUUCGAUACUGGAAGACUCGAAGUCCGGGAGAGGUGAGUGGAAACU